CGUCAGUGCUGGCCGGCAGGCAGGACAUGAAGCCAUACCGUUGCUCAGUAUGUGUAUACGUGCAUUAGAGAUGACGAAAGGUUCAUCCUUGAGGCCAUCCAUUGAAUUCUCCUCCAAUCAAUUUGUUCCUGCUUCUUCAAUUAAGACCUCUGCCUGUACCAUCCCCAUCUGUAUCCAGGACCUGCAAAAGGACUUUUGAUGACGUAAUCGCGCUCACCACGUGGUGAGUGUGGUGAUGCCAGCGCAGUUCCUGCUAAAUGAAGAUCAACACUACUCCUAAAGUCAAAGACAUUGCACCUUUCUCAUUGUCCCACAGGCAAGAAGCAGUAAGGGAUUAUGGGUACUGAUGAAAAAAAAAAUCUAUAAUAUUUGCGAUUACGAAGAUAUAGCACUACACUACGUGCAGAAUUAUUAGGCAAAUGAGUAUUUU